rnacentral:rRNA from 1 species
GUCCACGCCGUAAACGAUGAGUGCUAGAUGCUGUGGGUAUUGACCCCCGCGGUGUCGCAGCCAACGCGUUAAGCACUCCGCCUGGGGAGUACGGCCGCAAGGCUAAAACUCAAAGGAAUUGACGGGGGCCCGCACAAGCGGUGGAGCAUGUGGUUCAAUUCGACGCAACGCGCAGAACCUUACCUGGGUUAAAAUCCACUAGAACCUUACAGAGAUGUAGGGGUGCCUUUGGGGAACUAGUGAGACGGUGCUGCAUGGCUGUCGU